UAGGGAAUUUUCGUCAAUGCGGGAAACCCUGAACGAGCAAUGCCGCGUGAGUGAAGAAGGUCUUCGGAUCGUAAAGCUCUGUUGUAAGUGAAGAACGGCUCAUAGAGGAAAUGCUAUGGGAGUGACGGUAGCUUACCAGAAAGCCACGGCUAACUACGUGCCAGCAGCCGCGGUAAUACGUAGGUGGCAAGCGUUAUCCGGAAUCAUUGGGCGUAAAGGGUGCGUAGGUGGCGUACUAAGUCUGUAGUAAAAGGCAAUGGCUCAACCAUUGUAAGCUAUGGAAACUGGUAUGCUGGAGUGCAGAAGAGGGCGAUGGAAUUCCAUGUGUAGCGGUAAAAUGCGUAGAUAUAUGGAGGAACACCAGUGGCGAAGGCGGUCGCCUGGUCUGUAACUGACACUGAGGCACGAAAGCGUGGGGAGCAAAUAGG
rnacentral:rRNA from 1 species